rnacentral:rRNA from 1 species
GACGAACGCUGGCGGCGUGCUUAACACAUGCAAGUCGAACGGAAAGGCCCUGCUUUUGUGGGGUGCUCGAGGGGCGAACGGGUGAGUAACACGUGAGUAACCUGCCCUUGACUUUGGGAUAACUUCAGGAAACUGGGGCUAAUACCGGAUAGGAGCUCCUGCUGCAUGGUGGGCGUUGGAAAGUUUCGGCGGUUGGUGAUGGACUCGCGGCUGCUCAGCUUGUUGGUGGGGUAGUGGCUUACCAAGGCUUUGACGGGUAGCCGGCCUGAGAGGGUGGCAGGCCACAUUGGGACUGGGAUGAGGCCCAGACUCCUACGGGAGGCAGCAGUGGAGAAUAGUGCACAAUGGGCGGAAGCAUGAUGCAGCAACGCCGCGUGCGGGAUGACGGCCUUGGGGUUGUAAACCGCUUUCGCCUGUGACGAAGCGUGAGUGACGGUAAUGGGUAAAGAAGCACCGGCUAACUACGUG